AUUGAACGCUGGCGGCAUGCCUUACACAUGCAAGUCGAACGGCAGCACGGGAGCAAUCCUGGUGGCGAGUGGCGAACGGGUGAGUAAUAUAUCGGAACGUGCCCAGUCGAGGGGGAUAACGUAGCGAAAGCUACGCUAAUACCGCAUACGAUCUACGGAUGAAAGCGGGGGAUCGCAAGACCUCGCGCGAUUGGAGCGGCCGAUAUCAGAUUAGGUAGUUGGUGAGGUAAAGGCUCACCAAGCCGACGAUCUGUAGCUGGUCUGAGAGGACGACCAGCCACACUGGGACUGAGACACGGCCCAGACUCCUACGGGAGGCAGCAGUGGGGAAUUUUGGACAAUGGGCGCAAGCCUGAUCCAGCAAUGCCGCGUGCAGGAUGAAGGCCUUCGGGUUGUAAACUGCUUUUGUACGGAACGAAACGGCGAGCUCUAAUACAGUUUGCUAAUGACGGUACCGUAAGAAUAAGCACCGGCUAACUACGUGCCAGCCGCCGCAGUAA
rnacentral:rRNA from 1 species